UCUCAGGUGCGGGAACAUGGCAAGAGGUGGCGGCGUUGGCAGCUGGUAAUACACCCUCACAGGUGACCAAGGGCAGUACCGUCGCCAGGUGGCCACACAGCCCCCCUCCUCAUACUGCUGGUGAACCUCAACGUGACAGAUCUCUAGAUGGACGGCACUUGGAACUGAAUCCUGAGACGAAUCAUCUUGGCAGCGCGAGACUCAAGGGACGAGGCUGAUAUGAUUGUGUGUGGCGUAAAUAACAAGCCAGCGCCAAGUACACGAGUUGGGACGAAACGACACCGUGACGCAGUGGGCCUCUGGUCUCGUGAAGAGUGAUCUGCCGUAAGAGGAAGAAUGCACGUGAGUUUUGUCCUGGCCACGGAAUUCCGGAUAACGCAGGUGUUUGGGAGAGUGGAUGAUCAGACAGGACUGAGUAGAUGCUGAGUCUCGAGAGUGAACUGUGUGGUGCAGGACUGUAGCGGUUAUGCAGUCUCUUUUUAACGAGAGACACAUCGUGGAGGAGGCUGGCGAGUGCUCUCAACACACGUGACGGAGCGGCGCCAUGGUAACUGUCACCGUGGCCAGGAAGUCUCUUGUGCUGAACACUGCAAUGUUGUGUUAUCAAGACUGUGUAUUGGUGCAGCGCAUACAGUCGGAUCACUAAGCGUGUUGUAGUGAUGAAACUAUGGAAACUAUGGCGAAUGAUUAUUGAUCGUUGGAAAAAAGCAUAGGUGUGAUAAUAAUUCGGUGCUUGAGUUACACUAACACUCCAUCACUACCGCCACCACGGCCAUCACCACCGCCAUAACCACCGCCGCUACUAAGAGCUGGAUCAGCAGAGGAGCCGACACCGCACAGCUCGGCGCUCUUCCCCUGUGCCUGAGCAACACUGCGCUGACACGUCUGUCCGAUGCAGGGAGGAGACAGCAAGCGAGAGGCGAGGCUUGGCGGAGUUUUGACAUGCUAAGCAGUUAGUGUUCUUAAUAAGGAUCCAUGUCGGGGCAUCAUGAGAGAAAACAGCUUGUAUGCUGUCAUACGGACGCGGCGCUCACAACUUGGAAUCUCAAACAAGCCUCUCCCACACCCACCUCUAAUAUCUUCCACCACUGUGACAGAGAGAGAGAGAGAGAGAGAGAGAGAGAGAGAGAGAGAGAGAGAGAGAGAUUAGAUUAGAUUAGAUUAAAUUGUUUAUUAUCCACCAAAGUGGUUGUUACACAUUUUACAAGUAGUCAAGUAUACAAAUAUGAUUUAAUACCGGUGAUAUUUAACAAUGUAAAUACAAUAAAGUUGAGGAUCACUCGUCUAUAAUAGAUGCACCACAAAAAUGCUAAGUUAACGUACAUACACUGGUACACUUACAAUGAAAACAUCAAGGUGAAACAAACCUAACUAAAUAUAUUUUUGGUUAUUUUA